CUCCUACGGGAGGCAGCAGUGGGGAAUUUUCCGCAAUGGGCGAAAGCCUGACGGAGCAACGCCGCGUGAGGGACGAAGGCCUCUGGGCUGUAAACCUCUUUUCUCAAGGAAGAAGAUAAGACGGUACUUGAGGAAUAAGCCACGGCUAAUUCCGUGCCAGCAGCCGCGGUAAU
rnacentral:rRNA from 1 species